UACGAAGGGGGCUAGCGUUGUUCGGAAUCACUGGGCGUAAAGGGCGCGUAGGCGGCCGAUCAAGUCGGGGGUGAAAGCCUGUGGCUCAACCACAGAAUUGCCUUCGAUACUGUUUGGCUUGAGACCGGAAGAGGUAAGUGGAACUGCAAGUGUAGAGGUGAAAUUCGUAGAUAUUGGGAAGAACACCGGUGGCGAAGGCGGCGACCUGGUCUUUUACUGACGCUGAGGCGCGAAAGCGUGGGGAGCAAACAGG
rnacentral:rRNA from 1 species